CUCAUUCCUGUGCUUGUCACAGGAAUCCAGCCAGACCAAGUCCUUGGGCUGAAAGACUCUUCCCGCGCCGCAGACGCGGCGCUGCUGGAUCCCUGUGACAGGUGUUUAGCCCGGGGACAU
rnacentral:sRNA from 1 species